rnacentral:rRNA from 1 species
AUGGCCGACGACGGGGAGCAGGAGCAGCUGCUGGUCGUGACGGCGACGGCGGAGCCGGACGAGUGUAGCAGGUGGGCGAUGAUCUGCCUUCUGGCCUGCGGGACCGUCACGCUUCUCGGCUUAGCCUUCUACCUGACGGAGGACUUCGAGAGCUGUCCUGCGCCUUCCAUCGUCCUCCUGCUCUCGCUUCUGUUCUCCCUCGGAGGAUUCUAUUUUUGCGCUCUCUGCAUUGUUUUUGUUUUUGAACAGUUCAUCGGCGGCAAUCCAGCUGGAGUAAUGAACAUAGAUAGAUUGUUUAAUUGA